rnacentral:rRNA from 1 species
GUACCGCGGCUGCUGGCACGUAGUUAGCCGGCGCUUUUUCUGCAAGUACCGUCACUUUCGCUUCUUCCUUGCUAAAAGAGGUUUACAACCCGAAGGCCGUCGUCCCUCACGCGGCGUUGCUGCAUCAGGCUUUCGCCCAUUGUGCAAUAUUCCCCACUGCUGCCUCCCGUAGGAGUCUGGGCCGUGUCUCAGUCCCAGUGUGGCCGGUCACCCUCUCAGGCCGGCUACCCGUCGACGCCUUGGUGAGCCAUUACCUCACCAACAAGCUGAUAGGCCGCGAGCUCAUCCCUGACCGAAAUUCUUUCCAGCUGCUGAAGAUGCCUUCGCAACUCGUAUCCGGUAUUAGCAGCUGUUUCCAGCUGUUAUCCCAGAGUCAGGGGCAGAUUGCUCACGUGUUACUCACCCGUUCGCCACUGAUCCAGAGAGCAAGCUCUCUUUCACCGUUCGACUUGCAUGUGUUAAGCACGCCGCCAGCGUUCAUCCUGAGCCAUGAUCAAACUC